rnacentral:rRNA from 1 species
UGGGGAAUAUUGGACAAUGGGGGAAACCCUGAUCCAGCGACGCCGCGUGGGUGAAGAAGGCCUGCGGGUUGUAAAGCCCUUUCGGUUGGGAAGAAAAGUUGCGACCUAACACGUCGCGACCUUGACGUAACCAACUAAAGAAGCACCGGCUAACUCUGUGCAAGCAGCCGCGGUAAUACAGAGGGUGCGAGCGUGAAUCGGAAUUACUGGGCGUAAAGCGCGCGUAGGCGGCUUGGCAAGUCGGGUGUGAAAUCCCCGGGCUCAACCUGGGAGCUGCAUUCGAGACUGCUUAGCUAGAGUAUGGGAGAGUGAAGUGGAAUUUCCGGGGUAGCGGUGAAAUGCGUAGAUAUCGGAAGGAACAUCAGUGGCGAAAGCGACUUCCUGGACCGAUACUGACGCUCAUGUGCGAAAGCGUGGGGA